UCUCCGGGAGACACGUGAAGAAGAACACCCACGAGAGAGCGACGAUGCCGGCGUAGAGAAAGAAGCUGCCGCCGAUGGUGAUGGCGCUGGACAGCGACAGGAAGGUCAUGGAGACGACGCCGCUCGUCACGCGGUUGCACGCCACGCCGACCGCGUAGCCCAGCGCGCGCACACGCAACGGGAAGAUCUCCGAGGUGUACACCGCCGUCAUGGGCCCGAGGCCGAUGGAGAAGAACGACACGAAGGCCAGAGUGGACGUGACGCACAGGCCCACGGCCCAGGAAACUUCGGUGUGCGGGUGCCGGCCCACGACGGUGAGCCCUGUGGCGAGGCCGACGAGCGAGACAGCCAUGCCGCCGGAGCUGGUCAGCAUCAGCGGGCGCCUGCCGACGCGGUCCAGGAGGAC
rnacentral:misc_RNA from 1 species